UUGCUCUUCAGGUAUGCAUGGAAGCAAAUCCUCAACUCAGAAAACCUUGAGUAUGAAAAAAUGAUGUUUCCUUUGCUGCAAUUUUAAAGUGAGUUAGAAAGAUCCAGUCUUAUAAGCAAAUAAUAUCUGUGCUAGAAUUCAGCUGACCUCUGGGGUCCUCAGCUCUGCAGUGCUGAUGGGACGAUACUGCRUGGGAAGUGCCCCUGAAUUUAGGUGCUCAUCAAACUGAGGCCGCCAGCCACUGUUUGCUUAUGAGCCUGUCGUGUUCGACACAGCCCCCCGGAAAGUAACCUACUGUAGGAGAGAACUGUUCUCCAAUCCUAAUUGGCUCUCUGAGGAACUCGGGCUGAACGUCCCCAGAAGAAGGUGGAACCGAUAGUGACUUGUGCCAGUGCAGCUCUUCUAGUACAAGGCUGCAGUGGGCGGGAGUGGUUGGUCCUACCGCUGCCUCCACCAGGCCCCGUCCCUGCUGCCACCUCUCCAGGAGAUGUGUCACCAYCUGCAUGUCAUUCGGGUGCGCCGAGUUCAUCCCGAUGAAGCUCUCCGCGGGAGAGGUGAGCGCAUCACGUGUCUCCGGAGGAAGAGCCGCUUCCUUCCCGUCGGCCCGGCCGUGUCCCGGCCCCGCGGAGGGUGGCCGGCCGCGGCGGCUCGUCUCGCGCGAGCGGCUUCCAGGAGAUGGCAUCUCAGUACAAGCUCCGCUUGGGAGCGCUGGGCACCUGGGAGCCUCCCCGGAAGGAUGCUGCGAUGCGCAAGCACACAAACCCCACCGCCACGGCUCGGGGACGCACGCCCCGGCCGGCUGCGCCACGACCCGCCAACGCUCCAGAGCUGCCGCGGCCGUGACCGACCCGGCCUCGACACCGGCAACCCGGCUCCGGCGGGACCCCCCAAACCGCCCGCGGCAGCGCUUUCGGAGACCGGCUGCAGCCCCGGCCGCGGGGUGCCUGGGGCAAUAAACAGGGAAGCAAUAAAAAAA
rnacentral:lncRNA from 1 species